UUCGAGGCAAGCGGGAGUGGGAAGAAGAAGAAGUAGACGACCUUAUAAUUCUGAUUCGAAACCCUAGAUCGCAAGCACCUCGCCAAUUAGGGUUUUGGAGGUGAUCACGCGGCGAGAGGAAGGAGAAGAAGGGAGGAAAGAAGAAGAAAGAGAAGAAGAAGAAGAAGAGGAAGGAGAAGAAGGGAGGGAUGGGAGAGCGGAAGGUGCUGAACAAGUACUACCCACCGGAUUUCGAUCCGGCGAAGAUCCCACGGCGGCGGCAACCGAGGAACCAGCAGAUCAAGGUGCGGAUGAUGCUCCCC
rnacentral:lncRNA from 1 species